GUCAUAUGCUUGUCUCAAAGAUUAAGCCAUGCAUGUCUCAGUACAAGCCAAAUUAAGGUGAAACCGCGAAAGGCUCAUUAAAUCAGUUAUGGUUCCUUAGAUCGUACCCACAAUUACUUGGAUAACUGUGGUAAUUCUAGAGCUAAUACAUGCAAACAGAGCUCCGACCGGAGACGGAAGGAGUGCUUUUAUUAGAUCAAAACCAAUCGGUGGCGGGUUCGCCCGUCAUCGUACAACUUGGUGACUCUGAAUAACUUUACGCUGAUCGCACGGUCAUCGCACCGGCGACGCAUCUUUCAAAUGUCUGCCUUAUCAACUGUCGAUGGUAGGUUCUGCGCCUACCAUGGUUGUAACGGGUAACGGGGAAUCAGGGUUCGAUUCCGGAGAGGGAGCCUGAGAAACGGCUACCACAUCCAAGGAAGGCAGCAGGCGCGCAAAUUACCCACUCCCGGCACGGGGAGGUAGUGACGAAAAAUAACGAUACGGGACUCAUCCGAGGCCCCGUAAUCGGAAUGAGUACACUCUAAACCCUUUAACGAGGAUCAAUUGGAGGGCAAGUCUGGUGCCAGCAGCCGCGGUAAUUCCAGCUCCAAUAGCGUAUAUUAAAGUUGUUGCGGUUAAAAAGCUCGUAGUCGAAUUUGUGUCUCGCGCCGCCGGUUCAUCGUCCGCGGUGUUAACUGGCGAGUCGCGAGACGUCCUGCCGGUGGGCUUAGCUCGCGAGGGCGGCCCAACUCAAUCCUGCCGCGGUGCUCUUCAUUGAGUGUCGAGGUGGGCCGGCACGUUUACUUUGAACAAAUUAGAGUGCUUAAAGCAGGCUAAAACUUCGCCUGAAUACUGUGUGCAUGGAAUAAUGGAAUAGGACCUCGGUUCUAUUUUGUUGGUUUUCGGAACCCCGAGGUAAUGAUUAAUAGGAACGGAUGGGGGCAUUCGUAUUGCGACGUUAGAGGUGAAAUUCUUGGAUCGUCGC
rnacentral:rRNA from 1 species